rnacentral:rRNA from 1 species
UACAGAGGUCUCAAGCGUUGUUCGGAUUCAUUGGGCGUAAAGGGUGCGUAGGCGGCGCGGUAAGUCGGGUGUGAAAUCUCGGGGCUUAACUCCGAAACUGCAUUUGAUACUGGCGUGCUUGAGGACUGGAGAGGAGACUGGAAUUCAUGGUGUAGCAGUGAAAUGCGUAGAGAUCAUGAGGAAGACCAGUGGCGAAGGCGGGUCUCUGGACAGUUCCUGACACUGAGGCACGAAGGCCAGGGGAGCAAACGGG